UUAACCAGUUACCUACAGCUGAUGAGCUCCAGGAAGAGCGAAACCAGUUCCGCCCUGUUUCAGUAGUUAUGAAAAGUUCGGACUGGUCCUGUAGUACUGUCCUGCAGCA
rfam:Chelonia mydas contig57739, whole genome shotgun sequence.